AAUAUUGGACAAUGGGCGCAAGCCUGAUCCAGCCAUGCCGCGUGAGUGAUGAAGGCCCUAGGGUUGUAAAGCUCUUUCAGCGAGGAGGAUAAUGACGUUACUCGCAGAAGAAGCCCCGGCUAACUUCGUGCCAGCAGCCGCGGUAAUACGAAGGGGGCUAGCGUUGUUCGGAAUCACUGGGCGUAAAGCGCACGUAGGCGGACUUUUAAGUCAGGGGUGAAAUCCCGGGGCUCAACCCCGGAACUGCCUUUGAUACUGGAAGUCUUGAGUCCGAGAGAGGUGAGUGGAACUCCGAGUGUAGAGGUGAAAUUCGUAGAUAUUCGGAAGAACACCAGUGGCGAAGGCGGCUCACUGGCUCGGUACUGACGCUGAGGUGCGAAAGCGUGGGGAGCAAACAGGGUUAGAUACCCUGGUAG
rnacentral:rRNA from 1 species